GAUGAACGCUGGCGGCGUGCCUAAUACAUGCAAGUCGAGCGGAAAGACGCGGAUUUUGCGGCGCGGACGUUAGGGGCGCGGGGGAGUGUAACACGUGGAUCAUGCACCUGUCUGUCUGAGAACACCUGGGGAAUGGGGAGCUAAUCCGAGAGAAUCUAUUGAACCACAGGGUUGGAUAGUAAGAUACGGUGUUGUCGGCGGUUGUAGCUGGAUCCGCGGCUUAUCAGCUUGUUGGUGGGGUAAUGGCUUACGAAGGCUAUGACGCGUAGGCGGCCUGAGAGGGUGACCGGCCACAUUGGGACUGAGAUACGGCCCAGACUCCUACGGGAGGCAGCAGUGGGGAAUAUUGCACAAUGGGCGGAAGCCUGAUGCAGCAACGCCGCGUGCGGGAUGACGGCCUUCGGGUUGUAAACCGCUUUCGCCUGUGACGAAGCGUGAGUGACGGUAAUGGGUAAAGAAGCACCGGCUAACUACGUG
rnacentral:rRNA from 1 species